CCUUUUUCUUUUUUUUUUUUAAUACAAGAUUUACUGUGUGUAUGUAUAUAUUCUGUCUUCCUGUGCAGAGUAACAAAAUGAUUUGUUUCUUUCACACUGCAACAGAUCUUCACACUAACUCUCACAUACCUGUGGUGCUUAUGAAUUAUUGGCCUCCUACUUGUGAAAGAAAUCUAGCACUGUCCUCACCGUUUACAGAAAAAAAAGACUGA
rnacentral:lncRNA from 1 species